ensembl:lncRNA
AGUACAGUUAGCAACAUACAUACAGAAAGAGAGACAGCACUUCCUUUGAUCUGUCUUUCAAUUGAUGAAAUCUUUUCAAAGAAUCAUAGAAUCACAGACUAUCCUGAGAUGCAAAGGACCCACAAGAAGGGUACUGAGUAUCGUGUAUCACGCAUGCUGCAACAUCUGACCCACAGAUCACAUCUAACAUCAGGAGUCCUCAAAAUAAGUAACGCUAUUAAAUUAGUAUUAUUUAUUUUCAACAUCAGCUUCAUGGUUCCACUAGCAACUAAAAUGGAGAUUCAGAGCCAUUAGAAGCAUGACUGAAAUCUAGCACACUAUUCAGUCCUCCAUGGAAAGAUACAGGAGCAAACCUUAAAUAACUAGUGGGAUG